GACGAACGCUGGCGGCGCGCCUAAUACAUGCAAGUCGGACGAAGCUGUUUUAACUGGUGCUUGCACCGACUUAAACAACUGAGUGGCGAACGGGUGAGUAACACGUGGGUAACCUGCCCCAAAGCGGGGGAUAACAUUUGGAAACAGAUGCUAAUACCGCAUAACCACAGAAACCACAUGGUUUCUGUGUCAAAGAUGGUUUCGGCUAUCACUUUGGGAUGGAACCGCGGGGUAAUAGCUAGUUGGUAAGGUAAUGGCUUACAAAGGCAAUGAUACGUAGCCGAACUGAGAGGUUGAUCGGCCCCAUUGGGACUGAGACACGGCCCAAACUCCUACGGAAGGCAGCAGUAGGGAAUCUUCCACAAUGGACGAAAGUCUGAUGGAGCAACGCCGCGUGAGUGAAGAAGGUUUUCGGAUCGUAAAACUCUGUUGUCAGAGAAGAACGUGUGCGAGAGUAACUGCUCGUGCAGUGACGGUAUCUGGCCAGAAAGCCACGGCUAACUACGUGCCAGCAGCCGCCGUAA
rnacentral:rRNA from 1 species